AGAGGCCUGAGCAUAUGCCACCCAACUUUGCUGCCUUGCUUGGCUCUGGGCUUACCCACCUGCAGCCGCAGUCUCAUUCCAGCCAGAGGAAGAUAUAGCAAUAGCACAGUCACCUGCCCUUAUAGAGGAAAGAAAGAAAGAAAGAUGUUUAAUACCUAAUUCACCUUCCAGUCACGCUGCCAGCCUGAGGAACUUGAAGAAUGAACCAGACCACCCACAAAAUUUCACCUUGCUCUUAAGAAGUGCCAGGUCAGUGAAAAAUACAACUGAUAUAAUCUAUGAUCUCCUCAAAUAUGAGGGAGAUGACCUAGCAUGCUU
rnacentral:lncRNA from 11 species